AUUGAACGCUGGCGGCAGGCCUAACACAUGCAAGUCGAGCGAGCGGCGGACGGGUGAGUAAUGUCUGGGAAACUGCCUGAUGGAGGGGGCUAACUACUGGAAACGGUAGCUAAUACCGCAUACCAUCAGAUGUGCCCAGAUGGGAUACGCUAGUAGGUGGGGUAACGGCUCACCUAGGCGACGAUCCCUAGCUGGUCUGCGAGGAUGACCAGCCACACUGGACCUGAGACACGGUCCAGACUCCUACGGGGGGCAUCAGUGGGGAAUAUUGCACAAUGGGCGCAAGCCUGAUGCAGCACUGCCGCGGGUGUGAAGAAGGCCUUCGGGUUGUAAAGCACUUUCAGCGGGGAGGCGUUACCCGCAGAAGAAGCACCGGCUAACUCCGUGCCAGCAGCCGCGGUAAUUC
rnacentral:rRNA from 1 species